rnacentral:rRNA from 1 species
AGAUUAAGUUAUUAAGGGCGCACGGUGGAUGCCUUGGCACUAGAAGCCGAUGAAGGACGUUACUAACGACGAUAUGCUUUGGGGAGCUGUAAGUAAGCUUUGAUCCAGAGAUUUCCGAAUGGGGAAACCCAGCAUGAGUUAUGUCAUGUUAUCGAUAUGUGAAUACAUAGCAUAUCAGAAGGCACACCCGGAGAACUGAAACAUCUUAGUACCCGGAGGAAGAGAAAGAAAAUUCGAUUCCCUUAGUAGCGGCGAGCGAAACGGGAAGAGCCCAAACCAAAAAGCUUGCUUGUUGGGGUUGUAGGACACUCUAUACGGAGUUACAAAGGACGACAUUAGACGAAUCAUCUGGAAAGAUGAAUCAAAGAAGGUAAUAAUCCUGUAGUCGAAAAUGUUGUCUCUCUUGAGUGGAUCCUGAGUACGACGGAGCACGUGAAAUUCCGUCGGAAUCUGGGAGGACCAUCUCCUAAGGCUAAAUACUCUCUAGUGACCGAUAGUGAACCAGUACCGUGAGGGAAAGGUGAAAAGCACCCCGGAAGGGGAGUGAAAUAGAACCUGAAACCGUGUGCUUACAAGUAGUCAGAGCCCGUUAAUGGGUGAUGGCGUGCCUUUUGUAGAAUGAACCGGCGAGUUACGAUUUGAUGCAAGGUUAAGCAGUAAAUGUGGAGCCGUAGCGAAAGCGAGUCUGAAUAGGGCGUUUAGUAUUUGGUCGUAG